rnacentral:rRNA from 1 species
AUGGGCAUUGACGUCAAGUCCAUCAUCUCGCAGGCGUACACAAACGUGACUGUGCCUGGCAAGAACCUAACGUCCGGCCUCCCGAUGACUUGCAACAUCACCUACGGCAACGAAACACAAACCCUAGCAGCUAUUCUCAAGAUCGGCGACGCGACAUACCGUGUCAACACUAAUGUUGACCUGAGGCUCAUGCCUAGUGUGGUGACCAUUGGCUUCUCCGGUGCUACCGGCGCAGCAGACGAGUUAUAUCAAAUAAUGUCCUGGAAAUUUCGCUCCACCUUCAACCCGCAUGCACGGAAGAGCUCUGAGAGCCCCCCUCCUGCACCAAAGAUCCUGCUAGUAGAGGUAAUAACUGGACCAAUUAUUGGAGUUAUUGCAAUUGUGUGCAUCUUUGUUGGCAUCAGUCGAUGGCAACUAUGCACGAGAAAGAAGCGUUACAGAUCUCUCGCCGGGGGCAUUGGACAUAUUGGUUACCGUAAGUUGGCCCAUGCGGCCAACAAAUUCGCAGAGGAAAACAAGCUAGGGCAAGGAGGUUCUGCCUCUGUUUAUCGGGGCGAACUGACAAAUCCAAGUAGAGCAGUGGCAAUAAAGAGAUUCAACCCCGCAACAUCUAGCGAGGGGAGGAAGGCGUUCGAGGACGAACUCAGGAUUGCCACUCGCCUCAGGCAUAGGAACCUUGUCGAAUUGAUAGGUUGGUGCUAUUAUGGCCAGAGAUACUUGGUUGAGUUUAUAUGCUGGUGGCGGGACGAUAGGUAUACACGUCUCUUCCUUGUGUACGAGCUUUUACCGCAAGGUAGCCUUGAUCAACACUUACACGAGGGCAAACGUUGGUUGCCAUGGUCCAAGAGGUACGAUAUCAUCCUGGACCUAGGAUCUGCACUGCAAUACCUCCAUGUAGAUUGUGAGCAACACAAGCAAUGUGUCGUACAUGGUGAUAUCAAAUCAAGCAACAUGCUGCUUGACCCUUCGUACAGUGCCAAGUUAGGUGACUUUGGAUUGGCAAGGUCUGUUCACCAAGAAACUGGGGCACAGACCACUGACGUUGUCCAGAGCACUUACGGGUAUAUAGACCCUGUGUUUGUCAACACGAGCCAACGAAAUAGGCAGUCAGACAUCUACAAUUUCGGCAUUGUCCUACUAGAGAUGGUCUCUGGAAGGGACCCCACGGCGCGUCUCAAUGAUAGGCCUCCAUUGACAUCAUGGGUAAGGAGUUUGUACCAUGGGAAUGCACUCCUUGAGGCCGCAGAUGUCAGGCUGAUAGGUGGCGAGUCCAUUGUCGGGCGACAGCAGAUGAAGCGUGCGCUACUAGUCGGGCUCUUGUGCGUGCACCAGGAUCUUAGCAGCCGGCCGUCCAUCAUGGACACCAUGGAUGCCCUGCGAUCGGAGAGGCUGGAAUCGGACAUCACUCCCCUAGCGCCGGUGAUACCACUCUUGAUGCCAUAG